rnacentral:rRNA from 1 species
GGGAAACUGGGUCUAAUACCGGAUAGGAGCCAUCUUUAGUGUGGUGGUUGGAAAGUUUUUUCGGUGUAGGAUGAGCUCGCGGCCUAUCAGCUUGUUGGUGGGGUAAUGGCCUACCAAGGCGGCGACGGGUAGCCGGCCUGAGAGGGUGUACGGCCACAUUGGGACUGAGAUACGGCCCAG